rnacentral:rRNA from 1 species
UACGUAGGCAGCGGGCGUUGUUCGGAAUUACUGGGCGUAAAGAGUGUGUAGGCGGUGCUCCCAGUCUGUUGUGAAAUCUCCCGGCUUAACUGGGAGGGUGCAGCGGAAACUAGAGUGCUAGAGGGUGGGAGAGGUAAGCGGAAUUCCUGGUGUAGCGGUGAAAUGCGUAGAUAUCAGGAGGAACACCUGUGGUGUAGACAGCUUACUGGACCACUUCUGACGCUGAGACACGAAAGCGUGGGUAGCAAACAGG